rnacentral:tRNA from 1 species
GGGGCUGUAGCUCAGUGAUAGGAGCACUUGCUUAGCAUGCAUGUGGACCUAGGUUCAAUCUCUAGCACUGUCA